rnacentral:rRNA from 1 species
GAGCCUCCCGCGUGCAGGAAGACGGCCUUAUGGGUUGUAAACUGCUUUUAUACAGGAAUAAACCAUCUUACGUGUAGGGUGUUGAAGGUACUGUAUGAAUAAGCACCGGCUAACUCCGUGCCAGCAGCCGCGGUAAU